UUAUAUGGAGAGUUUGAUCCUGGCUCAGGACGAACGCUGGCGGCGUGCCUAAUACAUGCAAGUCGAGCGGACGGAUGGGAGCUUGCUCCCUGAAGUCAGCGGCGGACGGGUGAGUAACACGUGGGCAACCUGCCUGUAAGACUGGGAUAACUCCGGGAAACCGGGGCUAAUACCGGAUAACUCUUUUCCUCACAUGAGGAAAAGCUGAAAGAUGGUUUCGGCUAUCACUUACAGAUGGGCCCGCGGCGCAUUAGCUAGUUGGUGAGGUAACGGCUCACCAAGGCCACGAUGCGUAGCCGACCU
rnacentral:rRNA from 1 species